GCCUUAUAGUCUAGGCGGUUAGGAGAGGCUGCUCUCACACAGCAGACCCGGGUUCGAGUCCCCGGUGUGAGCA